GACGAACGCUGGCGGCGUGCUUAGCACACGCAAGUCGAACGGAAAGGCCCUGCGUUUGUGGGGUGCUCGAGUGGCGAACGGGUGAGUAACACGUGAGUAACCUGCCCUUGACUUUGGGAUAACUUCAGGAAACUGGGGCUAAUACCGGAUAGGAUCUCCUGCUGCAUUGUGGGGGUGGGAAAGUUUCGGCGGUUGGGGAUGGACUCGCGGCUUAUCAGCUUGUUGGUGGGGUAGUGGCUUACCAAGGCUUUGACGGGUAGCCGGCCUGAGAGGGUGACCGGCCACAUUGGGACUGAGAUACGGCCCAGACUCCUGCGGGAGGCAGCAGUGGGGAAUAUUGCACAAUGGGCGGAAGCCUGAUGCAGCAACGCCGCGUGCGGGAUGACGGCCUUCGGGUUGUAAACCGCUUUCGCCUGUGACGAAGCGUGAGUGACGGUAAUGGGUAAAGAAGCACCGGCUAACUACGUG
rnacentral:rRNA from 1 species